rnacentral:rRNA from 1 species
AAAAACUACUCUUAAAGCAUAGGAUGGAUGCCUAGGUAGAUUACACCGAUGAAGGACGCAGAAAACGUGCGAUACGCGGCGGGUAGCUGUUAACAAGCUCUGAUCCGCCGAUCUCCGAAUGGGGCAACCCACUCAUUUAUGAGUGAUCUUAACCCAAUAAAUAAGUUAAGAUCGGGAACCGCCUGAACUGAAACAUCUAAGUAGGGCGAGGAAAAGAAAUCAAAGAGAUCUCCUAAGUAGCGGCGAGCGAAAUGGGGAGAGGCUAAACCAACGGGCUUGCCCGUUGGGGUUGCAGGGCAUAUCUCAAUUUAAUUUGGAAGAGUAAAAAAACUUUAUCAUAGCAGAAUAGUCUGGAAUGUCCAACCAUAGAGGGUGAAAGUCCCGUAAGCGAAAUGAUAAAGACUCUUGAUGUGUUCCUAAGUACCACGAGGCACGCGAAAUCUUGUGGGAAUCCGGGGUGACCACACUCCAAGCCUAAAUAUGUAAUCUGACCGAUAGUGAACUAGUACCGCGAGGGAAAGGUGAAAAGCAGCCCGGAAGGGCAAUGAAAUAGUACCUGAAAUUCUAUGCUAACAAACAGUCAAAGUCCUAUUAUGUGAAUUUAUUCAUGUAAGGAUGAUGGCGUGCCUAUUGAAGAAUGAACCGGUGAGUAAACACAGAAACGGCUUGCUUAAGGGCUUAUGGUCCGGAGGCAUAGUGAAAGCGAGCUUGAAUAGAGCGAAAUAUAAGUCGUAUGUGUUUGACCCGAAACUUGGUGAGCUAACCAUGUGCAGGUUGAAGUGUCGGUAAAACGACAUGGAGGACCGAACCGAUGUAUGCUGCAAAAUGCUCGGAUGACAUGUGGUUAGGGGUGAUAUGCCAAUCGAACCAAGAGAUAGCUGGUUCUCCCCGAAAUAUAUGUAGGUAUAGCCUGGUGUGUUCGCCGUGGAGGUAGAGCACUGAAUGGAUGUCAUGGGAGCAAUCCUGUGUAUCUAAUCAAACUCCGAAUGCCAUAGGCUCAAGAGCACCAGAGUCAGUCCGGCUCGGCUAAGCGAGUCUGGUCGAAAGGGAAACAACCCAGACCUACAGCUAAGGUCCCUAAUAAUUAGUUAAGUGUCAAAGGAUGUGAAAGUGGCUAAACAAUCAGGAGGUUGGCUUAGAAGCAGCCAUCCUUUAAAGAAAGCGUAACAGCUCGCUGAUCGAAUCUACCACUUUUGCGCCGACAAUUUACCGGGGCUCAAACUAAUAACCGAAGCUUAGGAUUAAUCCUGCACUACAUAAAUCAGGUAGCACGUAACCUAGUCGUCUCUAUACACGACUAAAGAAGUGCAAAAAAGAACUAUUUACUAACAAAACAACGAAUCUUAACGUGAUUUAUGUUGUGCAGGGUUAGUGGUAGGGGAGCGUUCUGUGUGCGGCGAAGCAUGACCGUGAGGACGUGUGGAGCGCACAGAAGUGAGAAUGCCGGUAUGAGUAGCGAAAUGGGAGUGAAAAACCCCCACACCGUAAGCCCAAGGUUUCCGCAGCAAUGUUAAUCAACUGCGGGUUAGUCGGCUCCUAAGGCGAGGCCAAUUGGCGUAGUCGAUGGAUAACAGGUUUAUAUUCCUGUACAUGUAUAUAACGAUAAAGACUUUAAGGAAGGACAGAAGUGGAAGAGUCUCGAGGGAUUUUGAUUAUGCCCUUAGAAGUAGAGAGGAAGUGUAGCCAGGAAAAUCCGGCAAGAACACGUUUAUUUAAUCUACGAUAUCAAGAUAGUGUAGCAAUACACCGUCAAGGAGAUAGCUUUCAGUUUUCGAGAAAAUUUUCGUAAAGAGUUAUAUAUUUUGCCGUACCGUAAACCGACACAGGUGGGCGAGUUGAGUAUACGAAGGUGAUCGGGUGAGCCGUGCUUAAGGAACUAGGCAAUACAACUGGACGUACCUUUGGUAGAUGUCCUGCCUCCUUUAAGGAGGUUGCAAUAAAAGACGCUGAGCGACUGUUUAACAAAAACACAGGUCUAUGCAAAAGCGAAAGCUGAAGUAUAUGGGCUGAGACCUGCCCAGUGCUGGUAAUUUAAAGGGAGGGGUAGCAAUGCUCUGAACUGAAGAUCCAGUGAACGGCAGCAGUAACUAUAACUGUUCUAUGGUAGCGAAGUUCCUUGUCAGGUGAGUUCUGACCCGCACGAAAGGUUGAACGACUUAGCGACUGUCUUGAGCACGCGCCCGGCGAAAUUGAAAUGGCUGUGAAGAUGCGGCCUAAUUACACAUGGACAAAAAGACCCCGUGAAGCUUUACUAUA